AAAUACAGCAGAUCACUCAAUGGAUGCUGAAACAUUAUUUGGUAUUCAAACAACUUUGGAAAAGUAUGAACAUCCAAUUUUGAAAAUGAACUAACGAAUACUGGUUAUAAAGAAUUUAUGCAAUGUACGUGUAAUGGUUAUUAGAUGCAAAUUCAGCAGAUCACUCAAGGGAUGCUGAAACAUUAUUUGGUAUUCAAACAACUCUGGAAAAGUAUGAACAUCCAAUUUUGAAAAUGAACUAACGGAUACUGAUUAUAAAGAAUUUAUGCAAUAUGCAAAUACAGCAGAUCACUCAAGGGAUGCUGAAACAUUAUUUGGUAUUCAAACAACUCUGGAAAAGUAUGAACAUCCAAUUUUGAAAAUGAACUAAAAGAUACUGAUUAUAAAGAAUUUAUGCAAUAUGCAAAUACAGCAGAUCGCUCAAGGGAUGCUGAAACAUUAUUUGGUAUUCAAACAACUCUGGAAAAGUAUGAACAUCCAAUUUUGAAAAUGAACUAACGAAUACUGAUUAUAAUGAAUUUAUGCAAAUUACAUAUUGCAAUACAGCAGACAAUGAAAGCCAUGGUGAGACAUGAAUUCGCGAUUCUAUCAGUUUGGAAAAUAUAAACAUCCUAUGUUGAAAAUGGACUAGAAGAUACUGAUAAUAAUAAUUGUUUUAUUCAACAUGCAAAUACAGCAGAUCACUCAAGGGAUGCUGAAACAUUAUUUGGUAUUCAAACAACUCUGGAAAAGUAUGAACAUCCAAUUUUGAAAAUGAACUAACAAAUACUGAUUAUAAAGAAUUUAUGCAAUGUACGUGUAAUGGUUAUUAGAUGCAAAUUCAGCAGAUCACUCAAGGGAUGCUGAAACAUUAUUUGGUAUUCAAACAACUCUGGAAAAGUAUGAACAUCCAAUUUUGAAAAUGAACUAACGGAUACUGAUUAUAAAGAAUUUAUGCAAUAUGCAAAUACAGCAGAUCACUCAAGGGAUGCUGAAACAUUAUUUGGUAUUCAAACAACUCUGGAAAAGUAUGAACAUCCAAUUUUGAAAAUGAACUAACAAAUACUGAUUAUAAAGAAUUUAUGCAAUGUACGUGUAAUGGUUAUUAGAUGCAAAUUCAGCAGAUCACUCAAGGGAUGCUGAAACAUUAUUUGGUAUUCAAACAACUCUGGAAAAGUAUGAACAUCCAAUUUUGAAAAUGAACUAACGGAUACUGAUUAUAAAGAAUUUAUGCAAUAUGCAAAUACAGCAGAUCACUCAAGGGAUGCUGAAACAUUAUUUGGUAUUCAAACAACUCUGGAAAAGUAUGAACAUCCAAUUUUGAAAAUGAACUAAAAGAUACUGAUUAUAAAGAAUUUAUGCAAUGUACGUGUAAUGGUUAUUAGGUAUAGUUGAUAGAAAAUUAAUAGCAAUGUAACUAAAAGUUACUCAAAUGCUUCCC